rnacentral:lncRNA from 1 species
AAUCUAUUUCAGUCAUCCAUGAAAACCAUUCAAAAAUCUUUUUAAAACUGUUUCCCACUCGGAAACUCUAUUUUGAAAACCGACUACCUUGAGGGGUAGAAAACCACGAUGCAUAACUACAAGAAAAUCAAAUCUCCACAAAACCAAAAGCACAGAUCGAAAACUCCAAUCUCAUGUAUAAUAAAACAUCAAUAAUCUCAUGCAUAACGAAAAUCACAACAUUCAAACAUCUAACUGAACCAUUUAUUUAAAUGACUACUAAAGGCGGGAAAGAAAUAACCAGGGUGACGGUCGCUACUGCCGUCUAACUAGAUCGUCCUCUCAUCGAGCUCAAAAUCCAACUCCUCGUCUCUGUCACCUGGGGGGGAAAGGGGGUGAGAAACCGCAACCAUGGUUUUCUCAGUGGGUACGACAGAGCCACGAAGGCAAGUCGUAAUCACCGGAAACCAAAGGAGAUAGAUAAACAGGUAUAUAACUGUAAGCUGAUAUGAAAUAGAACUACAGUAGCUACAACAGAUAAAUAGGAAGCAAUAAAUGAACCUGCUACUGUAUAGAAAAUAAUGCAAAGAAUGCCUCAAUGUACCGAACCAGAAACUGUACCCAAUCUGUACCUGUUGUAUCGGUCCGCAGACCUCAAGCGCUACCCGUCACUAACUGCACCGACCUGAUCCAUCCGCCCCGCAAGACGACCUAUCCGGAUAAGUACACCUCCGAUCGGUGGCCAAACCGAUCCGGUGUCAUGAAUACCC